rnacentral:tRNA from 1 species
GGAGAGAUGGCUGAGCUGGUCUAAGGCACCGCACUCGAAAUGCGGAGUAUCCGCAAGGGUACCGUGGGUUCGAAUCCCACUCUCUCCG